CCUAGAACAUCCCAGAAAAAGGAGGAGAAUUAAUUGAAGCUUCCAGACAAUCCAUGAAGGAUGAAGUAAAAUAUGACACUGGGAAUCAAAAGAGUGGAAAUGUACCUGACAACAGUAAACCUGCUAGUCGAAAGAAGGAAGUACUUGAAACCACACUUGUGCAGGCAAUCAGAAUAAAGAAUGAUUGUCCUUAAAUUCCAUCACCUGACUCAAAGAUUCUUCCUCAGAAUAGUGUUGGUCAUUCAUUUGGUGAUGCACAUCAAAGAGAAAAAGAUGGUAUAAAUGCACAUACAGAAGGUAAGAACCACUCAUUAUAAAAUCAUUGGAUAUAAUGCAUGUUUAAAACAUGAGCACUAGUAUGAUUUAAUAGUGGAAGAAAUGAAAAUAAUAAAUAGUAUGGGAAUUGAAAUAGUGUAUCUUAUCAAGUUGCAACCACAGGGUAAGUUGGAGUGGUCCUAGAGGAGUUGAGAUAUUAGGUCCAUUUCCAGACCUGCUUAAA